AGAGGUUGAUCCUGGCUCAGAAUGAACGCUGGCGGCGUGCUUAACACAUGCAAGUCGAACGAGAAACUCCGAGCUUGCUUGGAGGAGUAAAGUGGCGAACGGGUGAGUAAUGCAUAGAUAACUUGCCUUAAAGAUUGGGACAACCUUGGGAAACUAAGGCUAAUACCGAAUAAUAUAAUUAUUUUAAUAGUAAUUAUUAAAGGGGGCUUCGGCUCUCGCUUUAAGAUAGGUUUAUGUCUGAUUAGCUUGUUGGUGGGGCAAUGGCCUACCAAGGCGACGAUCAGUAGCUGGUCUGAGAGGAUGAUCAGCCACAUUGGGACUGAGAUACGGCCCAGACUCCUACGGGAGGCAGCAGUGGGGAAUUUUGCGCAAUGAGCGAAAGCUUGACGCAGCAACGCCGCGUGACCGAAGAAGCAUCUAGGUGUGUAAAGGUCUGUCGUUAAAGAAGAAGUGAAUAUAAAUUAAUAAUUUAUAUUUUUGACGGUAUUUAACAAGAAAGCUCCGGCUAACUCCGUGCCAGCAGCCGCGGUAAUACGGGGGGAGCAAGCGUUAUCCGGAAUUACUGGGCAUAAAGGGCGCGUAGGCGGAUUGGUAAGUCAGUUUUAAAAUACAACAGCUUAACUGUUGGUUGGGAACUGAAACUGUUAAUCUUGAGUGCGAGAGAAGGAAGUGGAAUUCCUGGUGUAGCGGUGAAAUGCGUAGAUAUCAGGAGGAACACCGGUGGCGAAGGCGGCUUCCUAGCUCGUAACUGACGCUAAGGUGCAAAAGCGUGGGUAGCAAACAGGAUUAGAUACCCUGGUAGUCCACGCCC
rnacentral:rRNA from 1 species